AAUCAACGCUGGCGGCGUGCCUCAGACAUGCAAGUCGAACGAUUAAAGCUCCCUUCGGGGAGUGCAUAAAGUGGCGCACGGGUGAGUAACACGUAAGUAAUCUACCCUCGAGUGGGGAAUAACGUCCGGAAACGGACGCUAAUACCGCAUAAUGCAGCGGCACCGCAAGGUGACCGUUGUUAAAGAUUUAUCGCUUGGGGAGGAGCUUGCGGCAGAUUAGCUAGUUGGUAAGGUAAUGGCGUACCAAGGCCGCGAUCUGUAACCGGUCUAAGAGGACGGUCGGUCACACUGAGACUGAAUAACGGGUCAGACUCCUACGGGAGGCAGCAGUCGGGAAUUUUGGGCAAUGGGCGAAAGCCUGACCCAGCAACGCCGCGUGAAGGAUGAAGUAUUGCGGUAUGUAAACUUCGAAAGAAUGGGAAGAAUAAAUGACGGUACCAUUUAUAAGCUCCGGCUAACUACGUGCCAGCCGCCGCAGUAAUAC
rnacentral:rRNA from 1 species